GUGGGGAAUAUUGGGCAAUGGGGGAAACCCUGACCCAGCAACGCCGCGUGAGGGAAGAAGGUUUUCGGAUUGUAAACCUCUGUCCUUGGGGACGAAGGAAGUGACGGUACCCAAGGAGGAAGCUCCGGCUAACUACGUGCCAGCAGCCGCGGUAAUACGUAGGGAGCAAGCGUUGUCCGGAAUUACUGGGCGUAAAGGGUGCGUAGGCGGCCGUUUAAGUCAGAUGUGAAAUACCCGUGCUUAACAUGGGGGCUGCAUUUGAAACUGGAUGGCUUGAGUGCAGGAGAGGCAAGUGGAAUUCCUAGUGUAGCGGUGAAAUGCGUAGAUAUUAGGAGGAACACCAGUGGCGAAGGCGACUUGCUGGACUGUAACUGACGCUGAGGCACGAAAGCGUGGGGAGCAAACAGGA
rnacentral:rRNA from 1 species